rnacentral:lncRNA from 1 species
AAAGAUAUAUAACAAUUAUACUUACCCUCAAAUAUUAAGACUUAAAAGACUCUGAUAUUGACCUAGUAGGUGAAGAAAGAUAUGGUUUAGGUGGUAUUUCAAGUAAAUUCAUGUUAACUUCUAACAUUUCAAUCACUUUACUCAUUGUAGGUCUAUCACUUGGAAAUGUUUGAAUGCACCAUAAACCCACAAUUGUCAUUCUCCUUGCAAUCUCGUCUUCUUCUGUAUCCAUAACCCCAUCAGGUCUCAGAUUAGUGCCAAGCUCUAGCCUAUUGUAUACCCAAUGUGGAAAGUAUAUCUCACUAGUGUGACUUGCAUCAGCAAUAAUGUUUUUCCUCCCACCAACCAUUUCCAGCAACAUCAUUCCAUAACUAUAAACAUCAGAUUUGUGUGAAACUCCUCCAAAAUGUCUAUUCCACACUUCUGGAGCUACAUAUCCCAUUGUCCCUCUUUGAUCUGUCAUCGAAAUAAUGCUCUCUUUUUUUGGACAGAGUUUUGCAAGUCCAAAAUCUGAAAUUUUUGGACAUAAAUUCUCAUCUAAAAGAAUGUUAUGUGGUUUUAUGUCGAAAUGUAAAAUUCUUGUGGUACAUCCUCUAUGCAAGUACUCUAGUCCACGGGCUAUCCCUUUUGCAAUUUGAUACAAAUUAUCCCAACUCAAAGAUGUAAUUCUCUCUGGUCCCUUGUUGUAGAUAAAUUUGUCAAGAGAACCAUUUGACAUAAAUUCAUAUAUAAGUGCUUUUUUUUUGCCUUCAAAACAAAAUCCAAGAAGGGUGACAACAUUAACAUGUGAGGUUCUAGUAAUACUAGAAACUUCAUUAAUAAAUUCUUCACCGUUUCCUUUGGAUGAAUUCAAUAUCUUUAUAGCAACAUCACAACCAUUGAGUAACUUUCCUUUGUACACAACACCAAAACCCCCUUGACCAAGUUUAACCUUGAAAGAGUCUGUCAUUUUCUUUAGUUCUGAAUAUUUAUAUCUUUUCUGCAAUAGAGCUCCAUGAUCUUUUAAAAAUGCUUCAAUAUUUGUAUCAUUCUUAGUUCUAAAUUGAAAUUUUCCUUGCCAUAUUGAUAAUUUGCAUCCAAAAAAAUAGAGAAUGAAGUAGAUUAAGAAUACGCUCACAGCUGCACUUACACCACCUGAUAAAGAGAAUUGAUUAAUUAUGUGUUGAUGGAUGAAACUAAACUGAAUAAAUAAAUAAAUAUAUUUUCGUUUUCUUAUGUAGUUAUUUGGUGUGCAAUAACCUCCUUCUAAUGCUUAAUCAUAAUACACUUUUUUUUUUUUUGACAAAUAAUCAUAAUACUCUGAAAUAGUUGUACUAAGAAUCUUGGUUAGAAUAUUUACAAACAUUAAUGUCAUCGAAGACAUGUUAAAAUGUAAAUAAUCAUUUUAGGUUAAAAAAUUGAAGAUACGUGAUUUAAGAUUGAUUAUCUAGUAUUCUUUAUUUAUUUUUGUUUUAAAAUGUCUAUCAGAAACUCACACACAUUAAGUGUAAAGUGCAUAGUCGUAGUAUUAUAAUCCACCUCACUCUCUCAGCUAAUCAAAUCUCCCUGCAACUUUUUAUCCUCCUAUUAUACAUGCGGAAUUAACUACCUAGUACCUUGUUGUUAUUUCUUUGCAAAUGUAUUAGUUAAAGAUUGACAAUAAUGAUCAAAGUGAAGUUUGAUAUAUUACCUAUAAUGAGAUUCCCUUUCCAGUUAGAGUGACUGCUACCUGCAAGAAAUCAUAAGCAUAAAGAGCAAGAGGAGUUGGUAUAUAUGUUGCUUUAAUAAUAAUUUGAUAGACAAAUAGUCUCAUAGAUUACAAAAUUUAUGAUGAAGGAGGUAGAAUUUGAUAUUAUAACUCUCUUCAAACUGAGUUCAUUUCCUAUUUCCAUUUCCAUUAAAAACAGAAAAUGAUAUUGAAAAUAUGUUUGUUUAUAAUAUUGAAAACAUUUUCCUUAAAAACAUUUCUGCUAUAUGAACAUUCCUGAAAAUAUCCAUGUUAAAAGAGUUACCAACACAAAAAGUUUUUUUUAGGGACAAUUAUUUUAAGCUAUAUGAACAUUCCUUAAAAAAGGUUUAUUUUAUUUUAUUUUAUUUUAUUUUUACAAAAUUACAAGUUUUGAACAAAAUGUAUAAUCUUUGGUGUAAUCUAUGUGAAAGUCAACUAGUCAACAAAUCUCAAUUUUGAAGCAUCCGACAAAUAGUGGGUACCACAGAUUUUAAAAGCUAAAAAAAAAGUUGGAUGAGAAUAAUGCAAAGUUCCAUAUAUUCACUCAUUAAAUUAUUUGUAAUAUUUGCUUUAACAACAAUCUUUUUGUAUUGAAUGAAAUUUAUUAUGUCAUUCUUUAUGAAAGUCAUUCUCAAAAUAAUAUGAUCAACUUUAAUUUUACUCUUAAUAAUAGAGAUCCUUUUUUCUAUGUGAGACCCUUAAAAAUAAUAUUGAUGAUUCUAUAGAAAAGAAUGUUAUAGUAAAUUUACCUAGAUCUCUUCCUCAUUUCUUAAUAUUGGCAUGUCAAUGAGAAUCAAAACAUCAUAUAACCAUAAACUAUGUUGAUGAUUUCUUUUAUAGAAAUUAAAACUAGAAUAUAAUCAACUUAUAAUAGGGUAAAAGAGAUAAUUAGUAGUACCACAAUCCACAAAUUCAUAAUCCACCACGAGGUAACCUUGAGACAUCCCGUAACCACUGGUGUCAAACCUUUUAAAGACAUCUAUAUCCAAUUCAAGCCCUCCACUGCUACAGUUAUCAACAAUUCUUACUCUUUCGACGAGCUCAGUCAGAAAAAUUUUUGGCGAGGGAUUGUCCUAGAAAAAAUAUAUAUUGCGUAGACCAUCAACAUUGGCAGAGUUUAAAAUAUUACGUAAAGAGAGAAAUGUCGUUUUAAAUUGAAAAUAAAAUUGUUAUAUUAAUACAAAGCAAAUUGAAAAUAGUAAUUCAAAAUAAAAAAAGAAAUAUGCUUUUGCAACAUUCGAGCUAACAACACCAAGCAAUUUUCCAAGCAAUUUUUUUUUUAAACCUUCAUUACCGCCAGAACAGAAGCAACUGUGCAACUGUUAGCUUAUUGCUAAUUUACACCUUAGUGUUUUUAAAUAGGUAUAAAUUAGUGGUCCUUAUAUAUAUAUAUAUAUAUAUAUAUAUAUAUAUAUAUAUAUAUAUAAUUUAUACGAUAUUAUAAAGAAAACAACCCUUGCAACUCUUUUGGGUUGAGUUUCCCUAAAAAAAAAAAUUCUUUUGGGUUAACUUUUUUUCUUUCAAAAAAUACUCUCAAUUUUCAAUACAAAUAACACAUAUAACAAACAAAUAAAAAUAAAUUUAAAUAUUAAAAAAUAUAACAAACACAAUAUAAAUAAAUAUGUCUGAUGCAGCCUGCAAAUAAAUAGGGGGCAGAUAUUUGAACUCGUGAUGUAUGAGAUUCCAACCAGACUAUUUGACAUAGAGAAAAUAAGAACUAAACUGCAAACAUUAUACAUACAUAUGAUACAUCUAAGCACUUGCCACAAGCAGCUUUGCCAACAGGACCAACAGGUCCACAAAAAGCAGUCAAACCAUAUUUGCUUGGCCAUGAAAAUGAUUUGUUUCCAUCCUGAGCUGCACAUAAUACACCUGAUGUGUUCAAGUUCGAAGAAUUGAAAGAGCGAUAUUUAGCCUCUACAAACCUUGCACUUUGAGCUGAGGCCAAUGCUAGAACACAAAAUAUCAACACCAAAUCCAGAAGGAAAAUUUGCUUGAACAUAGUUUUGAAACUACAAAAGAGAGAAACUACCAAGUGGUGUGUUACUUGGAAGAAGUAGAAGUAGGUAGCAUAGAAGUUUUAGUUUAUAGGCAAAGGAAAAGCAUGAACCCGUGUUUUUAAAGGUGGUGAGAUUUGUGUGAGUCAAGGUACACUAAGCCAAAUGCAAAAAUAUUAUAAUUAAAGUUUGGUAACUAAAAACAAGAUUAAAUUUGGAUAAUAGUGUCUACAUUUUUUGUAAAAUAUGUCUAUAAAUAUCAAUUUGACAUGAUUUAAUUGAAAACAUUUGUAAAAAAAGUUUUAUACUAUUGAUGCAUAAAAAUUAAUCUCAUCAAAAGAAUAACACUAUAUCAGUCGCAUAUUUUGUAUAUAAUAAUAUAUAUGUUUUCUUUAAAAAAAAAUUGACAUGUCUAAUAAUUAGUUCUUUCAAAAAAAAAUGUCUAAUAAUUAGUUUUUAUCUUCCAAAAAAAAAUUAAUAUGUGGUAUCAAAUAUAUAAAGAAAAACAAUAAAUUUAUCUCAUAAUUAAAAAUUAUGUUUAUUUAUAUUAAGUGCAAAUUUUUCCUAAAAGAGGUCGUAACUAGAAACAGAUGCAAUAUUUUUUUUUCUUCAAAGUUCAAUCAACAUAAAUCAAAUAUUUCAAAUAGGGCGUUACAGAUCAAUUAUUUAAAAAGUUUGUAUCAAAUUAAUUACAUCCAAAAAAUUGUUGAUCCUUAGAGAUAUUUGUCUUAAUUAAAAAAUAAUAACGUCUAGAAUUUUCAUGAUUUAUAAACAUGAAAAAAUAAACUCCUUAAUUAUUUGAUCAAAGGUUUAUUUCAUGGCAUUCUUAAAUUUUUCUCGAAAAAAAGAGUUCUAUCUACUCUUUUGUGAAAAUGAUUAAAUGAGCUUUAACUAUAUUACUCAAUUAAUAUUUUUUUUAUUAAUUACCAUUUACAUUACAACAUAUAUGGUGUUGUGAUGGAUAAAUUAAAUAUGUUAAUCAAGAUUAUUACUUCCCUCAACAACAAAAAAAUAUUGCUAUUGAUUACCGUCCAAUAAACAACUGGUCAUAGCUUUCUUUGUCAACUACAUAAUGAAAAAUAAUUUUUUAAAGAAAUUAUUGAAAUAAAAUCAUAACAAAUUAUAAACGAAUAUACAAUUUACCGAAGAAAAGAGGACAUGAGAUUGCUGGUGAAACUUGGGCGUUGCCAUUUGAUAGUGUGUGUGCAUGAUGUUUAUUUUUGAUUUCGACUAAACUGACUUUAAAUAUGCAGAAAAUGAUAAACUCAAUUAUGAACUAAUAGUAAAAAGCAUUAAAAUGAUAAGUAAUUUAUUAACUAAUUUCAUCAAUAUUAUAUUCCUUUGUUCCAUUUUUCAGUCCGAUUACAUAUAAAUCAUACCAAAAAACUACACAAUCCUUCUUUGUAUAAGAGACAUAAAAUAGUGACUCAUCAUAGUAAAAAAUUUAUCUAUAUUCUUUUCUAAGAACGACUAAUUUCUUUGGAAUCUCAAAGUUUGUCAUAAUGUCAUCUUUUUUCCCCUGGGCUCUCGUGUGAAGAAUAUGUUGUCUUGAACUCAACCAUCAUAUAAUCGGUUUCAUCUAUAAAAUAGUAUCUCCAUAUUCUUAUUUUUUUGUGCUUGUUCGUGAUUUCUUGAUUCAAUACCUUGUAUGCAUAGCAACCGCAAAAGUAAAAAAAAAACUAUAUUAUUCAUUUAUAAACCAUCCAUAAAUUUAAAUAGAAUAAUAACGAAAACAAAAAAGCAUAAUAAUGUCAUAAAAGCAUAAGGAAAAAAUAAAAUAAGUCACAUGAAAAAAAAAAUAAAGGAGAGAUGAAUAAUUUUUUUAUAGGAGAGACGAAGAAACUACUUUUUAUGUGAACAUUUGAUUCAUCAAAAUCGCAGCAUGAAGGAAAUAUUACUCUUGGAACAUUGAUAUCAAUGAAAAAAAAUAUGAAGAAAAAAGAAUAAAAAAACUAAACAAUCUUUGUCUGAACAUUUUAUUCAUCAAAGCCACAACAUAAAGAAAAUAUAAAUUUUGGAGCAUUGAUAUCAAAGUUAAAAAAGAAGAAGAACAAAGAAUAAAAAAACAGAGGAUAACAGUUGUGAAUUGUGAUGUGAAAUUAUGCCAAUCCAUAUUUCUAAUUUAUAGACUUGUUUCACACCGUAAUUUGGUAUGAUAACCAUUAUUUUUUUAACAUUCAUAAAAAACAAUUGUUCUAUGCAGGGUAUUCAUUUACAAAAUUAUUUGGUCAUGAAUUAAUUUUAAUGUCCAUAAAUUGUUUUAAUAACCAUUAAAAGCGUAUCAUAAAAAAGUCUCCUAUUCUAAGUUUUUUUUUUUUUUUUGUAGGAAAUCUCCUAUGCUAAGUUAGAGGUGAUUUUGACAUAUAUAUAUAUGUAAUAUAAUCAUUUAAAAUAGAAGUCGUUUUUUUCUUCUGAUUAUGUGUUUUUUUUUUAUUAUUAUAAUAUAUGUAAUGAUCCAAGCAUAAACAAUUAAAAUUUUGGUCUGUGAUAAUAAUGAAUAUUUUCUCAAUAAAUGUUUCAUUAAAAAAAAAAUUAUUAAUAGUUUAUUUUCAUUAUUGUUUUCAGAUUAUAGUAAUAUUUAAGUUUGACCCAAUUUUUUAAUAAUAUUACAACAUAUGAACUUCUUUUUUUUUUUUAACGAAAAUAUAACAUAUGCUAUUUUUUAAGAACGAAAAUACAAAAUACAAUGAAGUGUAUCAUUUGGUUUUGUUACAUUUAAUUUCAAACACAAAAUAAUUUGGAUAUAAANAUUAAGAGAGUGGUCAUUAGGUAAUUACAUACGCAAUAUAUACCAAAAAGAGCACCAGCAGUGUUAUACAUCAAUGCUACACUAUAUCCAAAAGGAACUUGUUAGUGCUAUACUAUAUCGAUCCAAAAAAGAAUCACUAUAUCCAAAAAAAGAACACAACAGUACUAAGAGUUAACACUAACAAGUAACUAACGUUUAUAAUGUUUUUAUUCUUAUUUUUUACACAAAAAAAAAACAGAAAUCAAAAUAAUAUAAAAAAACACAAGUAUCUGUGCGUAUCGGGAUGUAUCGGAAAGUAUCGGAUAAUUAUUUUUUUAAAAAAUAAAAUUUAAUAUUUGGAUACUCUCCAGAUACGUAUCGGGAAGUAUCGGGCAGGUAUCGGUGCAGGAUACGCAGGGGAUACGAUACGUCAUCCAUUUUGAAGUAUGGAAGCUUCAUAGAUAUCACGUGAAUUUAAAAGUUAAUUUGGACAAGAACAAUGCAGAGUUCCAUAGAAAAUAUAAUCAAUUAUGUACUUUCUACGUGAAACUAACAAUAUUUUAAUUUUUUUUUUUUUUUCACAUUGAUUGCCCUUAAUGUCCGGAUUUAACACGUAAAGUUCAAAUAUUAGUUGUUUUUUUGGAUUGCUCCUAAAGUUCACCUGAUAGAAAAUAUAAUCAAAUACUAGUUGUUUUUGCAUUUUAAAUUUGUUACAUAGUCGAAGAGAUUCGAUUCCACCUCGAGAUAGUUAAAAAAAAAUAUUGUUUUUUAAGAGAAAGUUCUUAAAAAGAAAAAAAUACAGUUUAGGUAAUGGAUGUAACCUGCAAAGACAUUUUAGGGCGUGGAUAAAAUAAGAAGUAAAGUGCUAACAUUAUACAUAUACAUAUAUACAUACAUUUAAGCAAUUGCCACAAGAAACCGUGUCUUUAGAUAUGGUUAAAGAAGCUACCAAGAAGUGGUGUGUGAGUCAAGGUAGACUAAGUCAAAUGCUCAAUUAUUAAUUAAAGUGUGUAGGUAAAAAGAGAGUAACUAUGUGAUUUUGAGUUUGGUGAUUUUGAUGAUUUUGUUUCUAUCUCUUUUUUAAUUUUAAUAAUUUUCUCGCAUCAAAAUAAUUUGAUUUAAUCACACUUCUAUCAUUCUUUCUCAUCUAAAAUACACUAAAGUCAUCAAAUUGCACAAUCACUUAAGUAUACAAUGAAACCAUAACUUGAAGUGCAUAUUUUUUACCUACAUAUUCAAAAAAUAUCUAGUGUCAAAUAAGUAUACAAUCACAUAUGACAAGACGAAGAUACAAUAUCUAGUGUCAAAGUUCGAAGAGUACAAAUAUGUUUAUUUCACAAGAACACAAUAUGAGAGAGCUAUUAUUCAGGACAUAUUUUGGGCUCAUCUCGAAUCGAUUAAGUUGUUUAACAAUUUUCCAACAGUUUUGAUCCUUGACUCCACCAAUAAAAUAAACUUGUACAGGAUGCCAUUGUUUGUGAUAAUUGAGGUCACCUCAACCGAUAUGACAAAUUCGAUUGCUUUUGCAUUUCUGACGGCUAAAAAGGAGGAGAACAUACCUUGGGUUUUUCGGAUGUUGCGUCAACUUCUUAACUCAAAGAAAGAUAUGCCUCGAUUCCUAUUCAUUAUAUGCCAAAAUUCAUGACACCAUUUAUUAAGAAAAUUUUGGAUGUUAUAGGCGAUGAAAAAUGUGGGUUUCGGCUAUAGCUGAGUACAUGUGUUUGAUGAAAGAAAGUCAUGUUAUGGUUCGCAUAGCACUUAUUCAAGAGGUGAAAGAACAUAGGAGAGACUAUAUUCAAAUAUAUUUUAGUGAUGAUCGUUUUAACUAUAUCUUGAAUGGAUUGCAUCAUCCCGAAAAUAGUAGUUGUAUUGUACUUGAAGAUAAAUGGUUUACAGUGCCAGAUAUGGGUGGCAUCAUUGUAACCUAUUACAAUAUGGUUGUGGUGGAGUUGAGAAAUCUUGAAAUUGGAAUUUCAGAGACAUUUUUCUCAAUUAGAGGCAGGCCACCGCUUAACUCUUAAACCCACAUCAUGUUUCUUGGAUUAAUCUCAAAUCAUUUUGUUCUUUUUUUUUUUUUUUGUUUUGAAAGAAUGAUGUCCACUACCUCCAUCAUCUACGGAGCGGAAGCUACAAGAGUGAAGAGGCGUCGUCAUGGUAAUUUAAAUUUUGGAUCAACAAACCUGGUUCCGAGACCUCAUGAUCAUUGAAAAGAGACACAAACUGUCACGACUAAAAAAUGAGUCAAACUGAAACAAUCCAAUUUUGUGUGACACUACUGAAAAAGAAAAUGAAAAAUUUGAAGUUAUUGCGGAAGAUGAAGAUGAUUCAAUUCCGUUAGAUGGAAGAUGAAACUUUUUUGUUGGUGUUCAUCUUUUUUUUUUUUUUUUUUUUUUUCCGAUAUCACACCGACAUAUUUUUAUGGUAGAUAACGUAAUUCCAUUUUUUGUGGCCAAUAUAUUACUAACAUUUUAUAAAUUAUAUAAAUAUAGUAUGUGGUGGACAAAACACCGACAAUUUUCUUUGUUAUUAAUGUUCUGCAUUUAAUAUAUGUCUAUGUUUCGGCAAAUUUAUACUUUACCUUUCAUUUUGUUUUAUUCUUAUAUUUGAUAUUUCAAAAAAUUUUGUGAAGUUCAACAUGUCUAAAGAUGCUCAGAUUAAAGCUCAUGUUUGAUACUCUACUUUGAAGAAGACAAUUAAAGUUUUUUUUUAACUCCGACUGACACAAUGGAUGAGUUGAAGUCACAACUUAACAAAUAAUUUGUUUAUCUUGGUGAAAAUCAUACUACAUCUCGUGUAUUUGUACAUGUACCGUGUGUAGAUUUGAGGGCGGAUAAAGAUGAAGACACGUGGAAAAUGGCUCAUCGGGUUAUUCGUGACGAUAGCGACAUAGAUUUUUAUGUUUAGGUCUAUGGUUGAAAAUAUUAUGUUAUAUCUCUAUGUUCGUUCAAACUGCAGCUGCUCAGACUGUUGGUAGAGAUUUUUAUAUGUGUAUCGAUGUGUAAUGUGUUGUCUAAUGUUGCACUUUUGUUGAAUUUCAAUCAUCCGUAUAAUGUUCACGUAAUGUUGAAUUGAUUUAAUGUUAAUGGGCUAAAAUAUGGUUUUGGUCCCUGCAAAUAUGGCUCGUUUUGGUUUUAGUCCCUGCAAAAUUUUGUUGUUGUUUUUGGUCCCUGCAAAUAUGCCUCAUUUUGGUUUUGGUCCCUGGCUCCACUUUUGUGAUGAUUUGCACACGUGGCACAUGAUGACUGAACCCAUUUAUUAGAGAAAUAGUCCCUGCAAAAUAUUUUGAUUUUAAAAAAGGUCCCUGCAAAAUAUUUUGUUUAUGAAUUCGGAUUUUUGUUGGAUGUCUAAAUCCAUAACCGUAUCCACUUUUUUUACUCAACGAUUUUAGGAUCUCUUUUUUCAAAAUAACUUAUUCAAAACAGCUUAUUUAUGCAAAACAACUUAUUACGAUCUCUUUUUUCAAAUUAACUUAUUCAAAACAACUUAUUUAUGCAAAACAGCUUAUUAGGAUCUCUUUUUAAAAAACAACUUAUUUAUGCAAAACAACUUAUCAAGAUCUCUUUUUUUAAAACAACUUAUUUAUGCAAAACAAUUUCUUAGUAUCUCUUUUUUCAAAAUAACUUAUUCAAAAAAGCUUAUUUAUGCAAAAGAGCUUAUUAGGAUCUCUUUUUUCAAAACAACUUAUUUAUGCAAAAAAAGCUUAUUAGAAUCUCUUUUUAAAAAUAACUUAUUCAAAAUAAUUUAUUUAUGCAAAACAGCUUACUAGGAUCUCUUUUUUUAAAUUAACUUAUUCGAAACAACUUAUUUUUGCAAAACAACUUAUUAGGAUCUCUUUUUUCAAAAUAACUUAUUCAAAACAACUUAUUUAUGCAAAACAACUUAAUAGGAUCUCUUUUUAAAAAGAUAGCUUAUUCAAAACUACUUAUUUAUGAAAAAGAGCUUAUUAGGAUCUCUUUUUUCAAAACAACUUAUUCAAAAUAACUUAUUCAAAACAGCUUAUUUAUGCAAAAACAGCUUAUUAAGUUCUCUUUUUUCAAAAUAACUUAUUCGAAACAGCUAAUUUAUGCAAAACAUCUUAUAAGGAUCUCUUUUUCAAAACAUCUUAUUAGAGAUCCUAAUAAGUUGUUUGGCAUAAAUAAAUUGUUUUUUUUUAAAAAGAGAUCGUAAUAAGCUAUUUUGUAUUAGAUAAGCGAUUUUGAAUAAGUUGUUUUAAAUUUGGAUUAUUGUUUAUAAAACAUGGUUUUAAAAAUCAAUUUUGAAAGAGAAAUAGCUGGUUUUUAAUCCUGAUAUUAAAAUAAUCCGGAUAUUUUUUUUAAACCAAACCAUAUUCAUUUAUAAUCCGAUUUUGUAAAAAUAACCUGUUAUAUAUCCAUAACCGUUUACAUAACCGGUUUACAAUAAAAUAUGGUCCUGGUUAGGAAUCCAAAACCAUAUAAGUGGUUUAUAUAUGGAUAUGGUUUGGUCGGUCAAAAUAUCCAACCAUGCACACCCGUAACUAUAAGUAGAGAUUAAAGAAGUGACGGAGCCAUGAAUUUUAUAGAGCAUGGGCAAAAAAAUUAUCGCUAAAACGUUACUUCCUUCCUGCGAAUAAUUUCACAUUUUCCACGGAUAAUUUCACAUUUCCUGCAGAUAUAUCUUACCUGCGGAUUCUAAAAUCCUAAGGUAUUACCCGAUCACUCUACGCACAUAUAAGGGCUCAAAGCCGAAACAACUCAUAAACACCUCUUUUUUUCAUCAUUUUUUUUAAUCUUUUCUCUUUUUAUUUUGUUCUCGCUUGAACAGAGACCAACAUCACCCACACUAAAGUUCCACAUCCACCUACCCACAAGAAAAAACCUCCCUACAUCAAUCAAAGUUGCCAACGCAGCAAGAAGAAACCAUCAUAAACCAUCCUAUCUAAAAACAAAUUCAUAGCAAAAGAAUAUGCAAGGCAGCACCGAAACAGAAACAAAAACAUCACAAAAACUGCCAAUGCAAAGCACCAAAAGAAGAGGGGCAUCACAUAUAUAAUAGUAGACAAGUUAAAAUAUUAGAUCACCUAAAAAAAAAAUUCGAUGCUAUUAUUUUUGGAGAAUAUGAAUAUUUUAAUCAUAUACCUAAUAUUUUCAUUACACAUAUUAAGGAUAUGACUUAAUCACGACUUACUAGUUACUUCCACAUAAGAUAAAAUCAUUUUCUAGUAUAGCUUGUUCUCCAUUUGUAGCAUACGCAGCAACCAACUUCUAAAUGAUUUAAGAUGAUAACAUUAUGAAUUGUUCAUGACUUUGCAUAAGUAUAAAAACUAUUCGAGACAUACACUUGAACCUAAUUGCUUCACAAAAUGAUUAAAAGGGUGGAGAGUGUCUUCAUUUGAAGAGGUUACCAACUCUGAUUAAAAGAUAUAUAACAAUUAUACUUACCCUCAAAUAUUAAGACUUAAAAGACUCUGAUAUUGACCUAGUAGGUGAAGAAAGAUAUGGUUUAGGUGGUAUUUCAAGUAAAUUCAUGUUAACUUCUAACAUUUCAAUCACUUUACUCAUUGUAGGUCUAUCACUUGGAAAUGUUUGAAUGCACCAUAAACCCACAAUUGUCAUUCUCCUUGCAAUCUUGUCUUCUUCUGUAUCCAUAACUCCAUCAGGUCUCAAAUUACUACCAAGCUCAAGCCUAUUGUAUACCCAGUGAGGAAAGUAUAUCUCACUUGUGAGACUUGCAUCAGCAUUAAUGUUUUUCCUCCCUCCAACCAUUUCCAGCAACAUCAUUCCAUAACUAUAAACAUCGGACUUGUAUGAAACUCCUCCAAAAUGUCUAUUCCACAUUUCUGGAGCUACAUAUCCCAUAGUCCCUCUUUGAUCUGACAUCGAAAUAAUGCUCUCGUUCCUUGGACAAAGUUUUGCAAGUC